UGAGUAGCUGGGACUACAGAUGCCUGCCACCAUGCCCAGCUAAUUUUUGUAUUUUUAGUAGAGAUGGGGUUUCACCACGUUGGCCAGGCAGGUCUUGAACUCCUGACCUCGUGAUCCACCUGCCUUGGCCUCCCAAAGUGCUGGGAUUACAGGUGUUAGCCACCACGCCUGGCAGAAAAUUCUUUAGUUCAGCAUCAAAGCAGGAAUUAUUACAGCAUUUAUGGAUAUUUAGUUUUAUUUGAUACACUUGGAUGCAACUUUACUCAUUACCAUUUUUAAACCCAUGUUUGAAAGUUUUAAAAUUUGGGUAGAGGCAGAAAGAGGAGGUUGAGUUGGAGAUGCUGGGGGUAGUCAGCAGCUCAGUCAUCGGUGCUUGUGGGCUUUGUUUGAUCCAGGCCUUGACUCUCUCUGGAAUGGGAGGCUUCGACGUCAAGAGGGAGCUGCUGCCACCCGUAGUUCUGAGCUUGAAGUUGCUAGGACUUCUUUCAAACUUGUGUGCUGAAGAGACUCAGAUGUUGGUCUCAGCUCCUAGGCUGAAUUCAGCAGAUCGGCCCAUGAAAAAUCCUGCCAGUUCUCUCUGCCUCUAGGGUGUCCUUGCUUCCCCUCCUGGGCCUGGCUGGGAUCCUUGUAAUGUGGUGUGUGUGCUCCCGACGGUUGGCUUCCAUCUAUGAAAAGGCCAACAUCAGGAAGCUGCCUAGGAGGCCGCCUGGCCCACGACCUUUCUAACCCAUGUCCACCUACUCCCACCCUCCACCCGGUGAUCAUGGCCUC
rnacentral:lncRNA from 1 species